CCGGCGGGCCGGCGGGGGGCCGACCCCGACCCCGACCCCGACCCGACCCGACCAGAUCCGCCCCGGAGCCCGGGCCUGGCCGGCUGGGCCUCGCCCCCAGCGCCCCUGGCAGGGCUGCCUCGGCGAGGAGAUCUUAGUUCCCUCACCAGGGAUCGAAUCCAUGUCCCCUGCAUUGGGAGCUUGAAUCUUAAGGAGUGGAUGGUCCAGUGAUGAACUCUUUAGGAGACCCUCAAGGUGCAAGAUAGCACAAGUGCUCUCUCAGGACUGGCCCCGGUGUCCACCAUCUUUUGACUUCCAAAGUCAGGCAUUCCUGGAUCACUCCAGAUCAAAGCUCUCCAGCCAACACCAUGUGACCUUGAGGAUGGAAAACACAUGCUUGGGGAGACAGAAGAAGGCUGUGACCCUGAUGACCUCAUGGAGAUGCCAAAACAGUUUGACUGCUUUACUCUCAAUAAAGUGAGAAAAGAAACCCACCUACGUGAAUGACUGGGCUUUCUUAUGUGAAGCCAGACUUCAUGGUAACAGAUAAUAGCGACCCUCUGUGAUAACCAGGUGUUUCCUUGUUUCUCAUCCAUACUAUGGCAUGGGGGCAAAUAGUUCUUAAUAAAGAACAGAAAUAACACAGAUUGAAUCUCUGGGGGUGGGGGUUGUUCCUCUGGUAGGACUCUGUGCACAUAGUAAUAUAGAUCUGGUUGGGCGGCUGUUCUUAAAUUACUGAUUUUCAGUGUUCCUCACAGUGGAGUGGAGUUUCAGAAGCAUGUUAUCUGGUUGUCUUAGCUUCAGUUUAAAUAUGUGGAGAGCGGUGAGGGAGGCUCCUAAGGACACAGAGGAGAAAACCAGGCAUUGCCUUUGUAAGAUGGACGGAUGGGGAAUUCCCUGGUGGUUCAGUGGCUAGGACUUGACGCUUUCACUGCUGUGGCCUGGGUUCAGUCCGUGGUCAGAGACCUAACGUCCUGCAAGCUGCCCAGCAUGGCAACAAAACAAACAAAACCAAAACACAUUUGGAGCUCGUAAAAACCUCUGAUACUGAGCUCAGAGAAAGCUGGGCUGAGGCCCUUGGUUCAGUUCCCUUGCCCACCAGGAUGGUGAGCUUGUUAGUGUCAGAUGACCCAAGUAUUUCUUGAUCUCUGAGUCAUUUUUUUAAAAAAGUCAGUUUUAUCAAGGUAUA